UCGCGGCCCCCAAAGCUUGUUGGUGAGGUAGUGGCUCACCAAGGCGACGACGGGUAGCCGGCCUGAGAGGGCGACCGGCCACACUGGGACUGAGACACGGCCCAGACUCCUACGGGAGGCAGCAGUGGGGAAUAUUGCACAAUGGGCGAAAGCCUGAUGCAGCGACGCCGCGUGAGGGAUGACGGCCUUCGGGUUGUAAACCUCUUUCAGCAGGGAAGAAGCGAGAGUGACGGUACCUGCAGAAGAAGCGCCGGCUAACUACGUGCCAGCAGCCGCGGUAAUACGUAGGGCGCAAGCGUUGUCCGGAAUUAUUGGGCGUAAAGAGCUCGUAGGCGGCUUGUCACGUCGGUUGUGAAAGCCCGGGGCUUAACCCCGGGUCUGCAGUCGAUACGGGCAGGCUAGAGUUCGGUAGGGGAGAUCGGAAUUCCUGGUGUAGCGGUGAAAUGCGCAGAUAUCAGGAGGAACACCGGUGGCGAAGGCGGAUCUCUGGGCCGAUACUGACGCUGAGGAGCGAAAGCGUGGGGAGCGAACAGGAUUAGAUACCCUGGUAGUCCACGCCGUAAACGGUGGGCACUAGGUGUGGGCAACAUUCCACGU
rnacentral:rRNA from 1 species